GCUACACCGGCAACAGAAUCUGAAAGUUUUCACAAAGAAAAAGUAAAUGACAGCUAUUUUUGAUGUAAUGGUCAGUCCAGUUGAGACUAUUGUGCGACACGCCUGGUUAACUGAAGGAUUUUUCUUAUAGGGUAUUACGUGUUUGGUAGUGGUGUUUCUACUUGAGACGAGUUUGAUCAUCUUGUCUUCAGUGAAGAAAAGCAGAGUGAUAUGUUGUGAAGUGUGCAUCAGCUGAAAAACAAGAAUAUAGUCAAAUAUUUGUGGCAUCAAUGGAUGGAUAACUGUGUAUAAAGAUUUCUACUACUGCUACAACAAGUGUUUGACAUAAGUUUUGAUAUUGGUGUCAUUCUCACUCAGUCCUCUUUAUCCUCUCUGGAACAUUUGGCCGGCACCACAGUUAGCUAUUGGAUUGGUGUAACAUGAUGCAACUACGACAGAUGAUAGAACACAAAGGAGACUUUAUGACUUUCCAGAUUUAUCAGUACUAACAAAUCUUCAUGUAUUUUAAUUUAGAAAAUGAUAUAUCUUAUUAGUGAUCUGUUGCUGAAUAAAUCAUUGUUUGGAGUUCAGGUACAAAGGAAUUAUAUCACGGGCGCAUCUUAACAACGAAAAAUGAUUUUAUUAACGAGCAAAUAACGAAAUGAGAUAUAUUACUUAGAUUGUAACAAGCUACAAAGGACUUAAAGUACAACCUUGCCUGCAUUCAUUAUAUUUUUGCCGUUUUCAGUUGUUUUUUUUUUUUCAGGGCGCCACUGCCGUUUCACAUUAUGACGUAAUAGUUUUGAAGUCAUAAUAGUGUAUUGUUGAAUGAUAAUUCACAGUUUUCAGCCUUUUUUGUUUAAUAGGAAAAUUAAUCGUAUUGUGUUAAGAGUAAAUAACAGUAAUUUCUUGUUUAAUUAAAUCUUUGUUUGCAAUUCAUAUGUGAAUGAAUUACAUCACGAGUGUGCAGCCCUAUUGAUAUGAUAAUAUAAUCUGAACGACAGUGGUUUUAUUAGCUUGACUAUUCAAAGAAUAUGGGAGCUUUCCUACUCGUCCCGGCGUCGGGAUUAGCGUUAUUGUGAGCGUCACACAAAUUUUAAAGUUUGCGUACCACCCCAAAUAUUUUCAAACUCCAUUGAGAUAUUGCUUUGAUAUUUUGCAUACUUGUUAACCAUCAUGACCCCAGUCUGUGAAAAGGAGGAGGCAACUCUAUCAAGCAUUUUGACUGAAUUAUGGCCCCUUUUUGACUUAGAAUAAAUGUUAAAGUUUACCACCCCAAAGGUCAAGUUAACAGGGGCCUGAACAUGGAAAACCAUUUCCGAUCAAUAUCUUGAGAACCACUUGACCAAGAAUGUUGAAACUUCAUAGGAUGACUGAUCAUGCAGAGUAGAUGACCCUUCUUGACUUUGGGGUCACUGCGUUCAAGGUCAAGGUCAUAGGGGCCUAAACAAGGAAAACCAUUUCCAGUCAGAAUGUUGAAAUUUCUUAGGAUGUUUGUUCAUGCAGAGGAGAUGGCCCAUAUCAGUUUAAGGGUCACUCUAUCUAAGGUCAAGGUCAAAGGGGCCUGAACAUUGAAAACCUUUUCCAGUUCAUAACUUGAAAACCACUAGGCCCAGAAUGUUGAAACUUAGUAACAUGAUUGGACAUGCCACAUAGGUGAUCCAUAUUGCAGCCAACCAUCAGUGUUUCUUUCACUUUUUUGAGUUACUGUCAUCACUUGAUCGGUAUUGGCGUCAGCGUUGCAUGGUUAAGUUUCAUGUUUAGGUCACCUUUUCUCCUAAACGGUCAAAGGUAUUGCUUUAAAACUUGAAACACUUGUUCACCAUCAUUAGCUGACUUUGUACAGCAAGAAACAUAACUCUAUCCUGUUUGCAAGAAUUAUUGCCCCUUUUGGACUUACAAAAUAUAAAGUAUUUGUUUAGGUCAGCUUUUCUCCUUUACCAUCAAAGCUAUCACCCUCGUCAUAUGACACUAGGUGCAUAAGUUUUGCACCAAUAUUUUAUUAAUUAUGCCCUCGCCCCACCUUUUGCUGAAAGUUAUACUUAUAUUGUGUUUUGAUACACUUGAUAAUUACCUCUCUUAUUACUUAAUAUUUUUGACUCAGACUCGAGCUAUUGUACAAUAUCUUCAUCCACCAUUGAAGUCAUUAAACAAUCUGGUGACAGCUCCAGUUUCCUCAGAUAUUCCCAGUUUCACUUUCCAGCAUCGAAAUAGUCGAGCGUGCUGUUAACAAUCAGUUUUAUAAACCUCAUUUGCUUAAGGCAUUACAGCUGUAAAAUAAUUGCAGUGUAAAUUAUGUGUAUUUCAGGACACUCUUAAAUUUUUAUUACCUCCCUUUUCCAUAUACAAUAUUUAUUGUAUUUUAAAUAUUUUUGAAUUUUUCUAACAACUUUAAAAUGUUAUCUCUUUCCCAAUAUUAUUAUUAAAUCAUGAAAGAUACAGAAUGGAAAUGUGGAAGAAGAUAUAACUAUGUAAAGUUAGAAUGCUAAAUUUUUAAAAAAUGUAGGCUGCUACAUUUUAUGAAAAAAUAUUUUCUUCAAUUUUACCUGAAAUUUUAUAUGCAACUUACAUCCAACCUUUAUAAGUUAACUUAAAUGUAUUAUAAAUACAUUAACAUGUGUUGAUAUUUUCUUUAGCUUUGCUCCACAAUUUAGCUUAUGUUACAGGAUUUAAGACUUGAAUUUUCAACUUAACAAAUGUUUAUUUUACCUUUAUUAGAUUAUUAAAUCAAUAACUCAAUAACCUCUAUGUGCAAGCUGAAUUGUAUUAAAUUUGUAAAAUUGUUCAUGCAUUCAUUUAUCAAUAGACACUAGUCAUAUGUAUCUAUUUAUUUAUUUUUUGAAUUUAUUUUGAUUAUAUGGACAUAUUUCUAUCAGUAAUAAAGGGAGAUAAUUUAAAUGACAUGAACAAAGAAUGUGAUAUCUGUGUGUAGAUUUGUAAUUUCUGCUAUAGUUUUUUUUAUUAAAAUUAUUAUAUUUUAUAUAUCCAUUGCAAUAUAGCUUUGAUUAUUAAACACCAUAUGUAACCUUGA